rnacentral:siRNA from 1 species
UUACACGUGUCAAAAUCUGAG